rnacentral:rRNA from 1 species
GACGAACGCUGGCGGCGUGCUUAACACAUGCAAGUCGAACGGAAAGGCCCUGCUUUUGUGGGGUGCUCGAGUGGCGCACGGGUGAGUAACACGUGAGUAACCUGCCCUUGACUUUGGGAUAACUUCAGGAAACUGGGGCUAAUACCGGAUAGGAGCUCCUGCUGCAUGGUGGUGGUUGGAAAGUUUCGGCGGUUGGGGAUGGACUCGCGGCUUAUCAGCUUGUUGGUGGGGUAGUGGCUUACAAAGGCUUUGACGGGUAGCCGGCCUUGGAGGGUGACCGGCCACCAUGGGACUGAGAUACGGCGCAGACUCCUACGGGAGGCAGCAGUGGGGAAUAUUGCACAAUGGGCGGAAGCCUGAUGCAGCAACGCCGCGUGCGGGAUGACGGCCUUCGGGUUGUAAACCGCUUUCGCCUGUGACGAAGCGUGAGUGACGGUAAUGGGUAAAGAAGCACCGGCUAACUACGUG